UGCUCCUAUAAAUUGGCAUUUUCCCACAAAUUAUACACUAGUUCUGAGAAAAUCAAUAAUGAGACUGUUGGUUUUCGUUUUUGUGUUAUUCCUGAUAGGAGUUUCGCUUGCACAGAGAGGAAGAAGAGGUGGUUGGAACAAUGAUUGGAAUAACGGAUGGAACAACGAUUGGAACGAUGGCUGGAACAAUGGCUGGAAUAACGGAUGGAACAACGAUUGGAACGAUGGAUGGCGAGGGGGGUGGAGAGGUGGAUGGAGAGGAUAGCAACCCUUCUCAGUGGAUAGUCAAGCAGUGACCGUUAUUGAUAAAA